rnacentral:lncRNA from 1 species
AACGCUUAGACAAUUUACUCAGUUGCCAAAGGAUUAAGAAAGAGAUUGAUCGCCUUACAAAAAAAAAAAAAAAGAAGAAGAAAGAGAUUGAUCUGACUCCGUCUCCCAAGGUCAUCUCAAUUCCUGUCCACUUCGUCGACUCAAAAUAACCGAGUUAAUUAACAACGAUCUAUGAUAAACAAUUGAAGUCCUCGGACACCAUCAUCCGCUUCUCUGCCGCCGCCGGCAUCAGCUCCUCCGGCGACUCUCCGGCCGAAAUUUCCGCGGCUUGCUCCGCUUCGGCAAUCUCUUGCUCUCCCUCUCUCUCGCUGGGAUCUCUAUCUGGUAUUUCUCUCUCUCACACACUUGCACAUCGUGAAUCGUUAUAUGAUUAUCGAGAUUUGAAUUACGCACGGUAUGUAUAUACUGUUUGAUUACGUAUGGGUUGUUAUAUAAUUUUAUCAUCAGUUGAAUCUCGGUGUGUAUCACUCUGUUUUAUCACUCGAUCUGUGAUUUUGUUUUGUUUUUAUUAUCAUAUAGAUGAUUUCGUAUUAGAUGCGUAGUUUAAGUGUACUAUUUUGUUAUUUAUUUGUCAUCUGAUGCCUUAGAAUAUGAUAAUGUGUGGUCAUUUUUUCGGAUUUGAGGUUGCUUAGUGGUGUCGUUUUUUCAAUCCACACACUUGCCGAUUUGCUGUUUGUGAUAUGUGCAGUUCCGUAGAAUCGAAUUAAGUAUUGCACACAUAUUUCUAUUGAUCAGAGACAUGCUAUGAAUCUGUUUGUUAGAUCUUAAUGUGUUGAUUUUGUGCGUGUCUAACGUGUUCAUGUGUUGAUUGAAUGUUAGUUUGGAACAUGCUUUUUUAAAUUGAUCUGUCAUAUGAAACCUUUUUGGGAUAUUCUAUUUUACAAUGAUGAUUUUGUAUCAGAUUCAUUAAUUCCAUGAAGAUUAUAGUUGUUUUGUAGUUCAGGAUAAAAGUAGGAUUCGAUGUUAGGAUCGCUGCUAUUCUUCUUACUCAAUUUUGAUCGGAGCGGUUGUGUGUCAGCGGUGGCGGCGAUGACGGGGCGUUUAUUGUGCCUUUUAAUUGAGGACAUUAAUUGUGCCUCAAUUGAGAGCGUAAAUUGUGCCUCCUAAUUGAGUGUCUUAAUUGUGCCUCCUAAUUGAGGGCCUUAAUUGUGCCUUAAUUAAGGACAUUAAUAUUUUAUUAAUUGUGCCUUAAUUGAGAGCUUAAUUGUCUCAAUUAUGAGUUACAUGAUUGUGGGA